GCGCAUAAUACCACAGACGAUACACACCGGCGCAGAAAACUACCGUUCCCGGCAAAUCGACGCUUGAAAGCUCACAAAGCUUCACGGAGAGUCUGCGGGCAGUCGCCAUCACUCCUCCUCCUCUUGAGCCGGUAUCCGAAGAAUCGCCCAAUCAGAUUCCUCGAUCUCUGCUUCUUUCCUCGUUCCAAAGUUCCAAAAAUAGCUAGACCCCAGUUCCCAUCUAAUUCCACAGAAUCCGAGAUCCACCGAAAUCUGCGCUUCGUGCGGCUGGAAACGUUCGAUUUGCGUGCUAUUAUUUCUAAUAUUACUUACGUCGCGAACGGUAAUCACAUAAUUAAUUACUACGAUUUUUCAUUGCAGUUUUUGAUUUCUUUAGUCGCGUUUGUGUGCUGAGAUUAAUUUGUCUUCGGUUCUAUGUGGAGUGAGUGAGGUGCAAUAUAAUUUCUUGUGUUUGCGCGGAGGAGUGCGGGCAAGUCGUUGCGAGACCUUGAAGACUUAUUUUCCUUGUUUUAUUUAUAUAAUUAACCCGCUGAAAUGGAUAUAUUCAACUCCCAGUUUCUCGGACCAUCCGUGGAGCCGGGCGGUCCAGCUAGCAAGAAUAACUAACCUUACAAAAGGCGGAAACUCCGAACGGAUGGAGGAUGGUCCAGAGUCGGUCCUCCGAAAAGAAAAGCUCCCCCUUUCGACCCGCCCCCAGGAGCCAUCGACAAUGGCGGCUCAAAGGAAGGUCUCGUUUUCGAAGACCAAGUACGGGAAGGACCUGGUGCAGUUGGACGGUUACGAGUACCGGAAAUUACGGGAGAGCAAGGGCGGUGUGAGGACUUGGCUGUGCGUCAAGGAGAAGUCCGGCGAGACCAAGUGUCACGGAUCCAUCAAAACAGAGGGAGAAUUCUACGUCGAGGGUAGUUCUAGGGAUCACUGCCACGCGCCGUCCGAUAUCGAACUCGAGGUCCGGAGGAAAAUCGAAAAUGCAAGCGGAGGGCGCGGGAAGACCAUCGCGUCCCCGUCCACCAGGUCUUUAACGAGGAAUUUACGGAGUUGAAAGAACGCGGUGCAGAGGUUUUGACAGCCCUCCCGAAGUACGCUAACGCUAAGACACAGCUGUGCUCUAUGAGAAGGGCAUCUUUGGGAAAUAAGCAAAAUAAGACCUCCAGCAGCAUUUCAACUGAUUCUGAUGGAACGAAACGCUUUCCGAAUUCGGGUGAGAUAUGCUAAACUGAGAGCUGUAAGUUUCCCGGAUCCAAUUUCGGAGUCCCAACGACCCCCAAUUCGUGCCCUAACAACCCUCACAGGUUUGCCACGGUCAGGGGAAAACUGGAAAUGUCAGGGAAUUUUCAAAAGGCAGGGAAAAUCUGCAAAUGUCAGGGAAAUGACAAAGUGUCAGAGAAAAAUUUUCAAUUUUCCUUAAGUAUAGCUUUCUAGAGAGGAUUUGACGGUUAGAACAACAAAUUUUGCCUAGCAAGUAUUACAAAGUAUGUCUUUUUGGCCGUAUGACAUAAUUUCAAUUUUCAGGAAAUACUCUAAGUGUCAGGAAAAUAAGGGAACUGUCAGAAAAUUCAUUUUCAAAAUUUUGUGGCAACCCUGGCCUAAAGUGAAAACCCUUUUUCCAGAAGCCAGCCCAAAUGGCCCCCAAUGCAGACCCCUACACUGCCGUGCUAAGGAAAAAUGGCGUAUGAGCAUCCAGAUGUUGCCAAAUUUCCCACCAGAAAAUAUUUAUUUUUGAAGAGAGUUAUGAAUAUUUUUCCUUGAAAUUUUCAGACUUUUUAGAUCACAUUUCGAACGAAAUCCUCUGAAAAUCAGAAGAGGAAUAUUCAUAAAUUUUCCCGAAAAUUCGAGAUUUGUCGAAGGAAAUUUGGCAACUCUCGAAGGUUCAUACGACGUUUUUCCUUAGCACGGAAGUAUAACCCUCAAAUAAAAACCUUUAUUUUAGGGCCUCGCGUGCUUUGAAAUUUAAGGUUAUGCCCACCGGUAACACAACGGGUAGAGUGAGAGGUCAUCGGUGACUUGUGGCACCUUAUAAUUUGCAAGAAUAUUUAAAAAACUUACCUUGAAAACGUUUUUCUAAUGUGAAACUAAGUCGUUGAAUAAAAAAAAAUAAUUGUUUGGCUUCCGAAAAUUGUAUUGAAGCGAAGAAAAUUUUUUUGUAUUCAAGAAUUUAUUAAGUAAGUGAAAUUCUCAAUGAAAUCGUUUAAUUCAAAGAAAAUUUUAUUUGUCAUCGAUUAUAUCUAAGUUAAGUUCUUGAAUGAAAAAAACGGGUUUACAUUAACUAACAUUUGCAAGAAAAAAAAAAUCUUCAAGUCUCAAAAAAUGUCUUUACGUAAAGAAAUGUCUCUAAAUGAUAAAAGCUAAAAGAUCUCCUCUAUAGAAAGAGCCGUAAGAAGUAUUUUUCAAAUCGAGGACCAAUUUUUUUUUCUAAAUUGAAACAAGUUUGUAAACCAUUUUCUUCAAUGAGAGGUGUAUAUUUCGAGUCUGUGAUAGCUCCUCAUAGAUGUCUGAAUGCAGGUUAUUGUAUUAAAGCCUUUUAAAACAUCAGAAAAACAUUCGCCGGCUUCCAAAAUUUCCUUCAGAGGAGUUAAGUCGUAAAGUUUGACGUACGUUUUUCGUAAUUUAAAACAGUAUGUGAAAGUCACGUGCUCAUUUUGCAUUUGUUAUCGUAAAUGCUGACCAUGCACGAAUUUUACAAGUAUAUUAUGACGUCGUAUGCAGGUGUAGGCUUUAGCAAGGCUGUUUACAUCGAAUAAAGAAUUGUAAAUCAGUAAUUUUCCUCUCAUUCGUUUUUUAACAAUUUCAGUUCUUUAUUUUAUGUUUUAGGCUUUUCAGAUUUGUAUAGUUAUUUUCGUUGUGUAAUUGUCUGCUGUGUACUUUUACUUGUUUCU
rnacentral:lncRNA from 1 species